rnacentral:rRNA from 1 species
CCUCAGAUCAGACGAGACUACCCGCUGAAUUUAAGCAUAUCAGUAAGCGGAGGAAAAGAAACUAACAAGGAUUCCCUCAGUAACGGCGAGUGAAGCGGGAAGAGCCCAGCACCGAAUCCCCUGGUUCUGCGCUAGCGGGAAUUGUGGUGUUUGGGACGCCCAUCGGCGCUGUGUCCCUGUGCCCAAGUCCUUCUGAUCGGGGCCUUUCCCAUAGUGGGUGUCAGGCCUUUAGCGGCACGGGACUAGGCGUCCUUGAGCGUCCUUGGAGUCGGGUUGUUUGGGAAUGCAGCCCUAAGCGGGUGGU